rnacentral:rRNA from 1 species
AGAGUUUGAUCCUGGCUCAGGAUGAACGCUAGCGGCAGGCUUAAUACAUGCAAGUCGAACGGUAACAUGAGUAGCAAUACUUGAUGACGAGUGGCGCACGGGUGCGUAACGCGUAUGCAACUUACCUUCAACUGGAAGAUAGCCCCUCGAAAGAGGGAUUAAUAUUCCAUAAUUUUAUGAUUUGGCAUCAAAUUAUAAUUAAAGAUCAGUCGGUUGAAGAUAGGCAUGCGUGACAUUAGCUAGUUGGUGAGGUAACGGCUCACCAAGGCAACGAUGUCUAGGGGAUCUGAGAGGACUAACCCCCACACUGGUACUGAGACACGGACCAGACUCCUACGGGAGGCAGCAGUAAGGAAUAUUGGUCAAUGGAGGCAACUCUGAACCAGCCAUGCCGCGUGAAGGAUGAAGGCCCUAUGGGUUGUAAACUUCUUUUAUACGGGAAGAAACCUUCGAACGUGUUCGAAGCUGACGGUACUGUAAGAAUAAGGAUCGGCUAACUCCGUGCCAGCAGCCGCGGUAAUAC